rnacentral:misc_RNA from 1 species
UUUCCGUAGGUGAACCUGCGGAAGGAUCAUUACCGAGUUAGGGUCUCCUCCGUGAGGCCCGACCUCCCAACCCUUUUGUGAACCACCUCGUUGCUUCGGGGGCGACCCUGCCGUUCGCGGCGUGGGGCCCCCGGAGCCCAUCAAACCCUGCGUAACUAAGUCGUCGGAGUUUAAACAAAUCGAACAAAACUUUCAACAACGGAUCUCUUGGUUCGGGCAUCGAUGAAGAACGCAGC